rnacentral:rRNA from 1 species
UACGUAGGGGGCAAGCGUUGUCCGGAUUUAUUGGGCGUAAAGAGCGUGUAGGCGGCUUUACAGGUCCGUUGUGAAAACUCGAGGCUCAACCUCGAGACGCCGGUGGAAACCGUAAAGCUAGAGUCCGGAAGAGGAGAGUGGAAUUCCUGGUGUAGCGGUGAAAUGCGCAGAUAUCAGGAGGAACACCAAUGGCGAAGGCAGCACUCUGGGACGUGACUGACGCUGAGACGCGAAAGCGUGGGGAGCAAACGGG